AUUGAACGCUGGCGGCAUGCCUUACACAUGCAAGUCGAACGGCAGCACAGUCUUCGCCCUCUCUUACGGGGGCCGACUGGUGGAUGAUUCAGCGGUACAUCGCCAUCUAUUGUUUCUAGCCCGACAACAUCGGGAUUCAUACGCUAUUCCCCCAUAGGGCCUACGGGUGAAACCAGGAGACCUUCCGCUCUUGCGCCAUCCAAUGAGCCGAUGUCGGAUUAGCUAGUUGGCGGGGUAAAGGCGCACCAAGGCGACGAUCCGUAGCUGGUCUGAGAGGAUGAUCAGCCACACUGGGACUGAGACACGGUCCAGACUCCUACGGGAGGCAGCAGUGGGGAAUAUUGGACAAUGGGGGCAAGCCUGAUCCAGCCAUGCCGCGUGGGUGAAGAAGGCCUUCGGGUUGUAAACCGCUUUUGUUCGGGAAGAAAAGCAGUAGGCUAAUACCCCGGGGGUAUGACGGUACCCGAAGAAUAAGCACCGGCUAACUUCGUG
rnacentral:rRNA from 1 species